rnacentral:rRNA from 1 species
UACGUAGGGGGCAAGCGUUGGUCCGGAUUUAUUGGGCGUAAAGAGCGUGUAGGCGGCCAGAUAAGUCCGUUGUGAAACUACGAGGCUCAACCUCGAGACGCCCGAUGGAAACCAUCUGGCUAGAGUCCGGAAGAGGAGAAUGGAAUUCCCGGUGUAGCGGUGAAAUGCGCAGAUAUCUGGAGGAACACCGGUGGCGAAGGCGGCAUCCUGGACCAACACUGACGCUGAGGAGCGAAAGCCAGGGGAGCAAAACGGGG